rnacentral:rRNA from 1 species
GGUUAAGCGACUAAGCGUACACGGUGGAUGCCCUGGCAGUCAGAGGCGAUGAAGGACGUGCUAAUCUGCGAUAAGCGUCGGUAAGGUGAUAUGAACCGUUAUAACCGGCGAUUUCCGAAUGGGGAAACCCAGUGUGUUUCGACACACUAUCAUUAACUGAAUCCAUAGGUUAAUGAGGCGAACCGGGGGAACUGAAACAUCUAAGUACCCCGAGGAAAAGAAAUCAACCGAGAUUCCCCCAGUAGCGGCGAGCGAACGGGGAGCAGCCCAGAGCCUGAAUCAGUGUGUGUGUUAGUGGAAGCGUCUGGAAAGGCGCGCGAUACAGGGUGACAGCCCCGUACACAAAAAUGCACAUGCUGUGAGCUCGAUGAGUAGGGCGGGACACGUGGUAUCCUGUCUGAAUAUGGGGGGACCAUCCUCCAAGGCUAAAUACUCCUGACUGACCGAUAGUGAACCAGUACCGUGAGGGAAAGGCGAAAAGAACCCCGGCGAGGGGAGUGAAAAAGAACCUGAAACCGUGUACGUACAAGCAGUGGGAGCACGCUUAGGCGUGUGACUGCGUACCUUUUGUAUAAUGGGUCAGCGACUUAUAUUCUGUAGCAAGGUUAACCGAAUAGGGGAGCCGAAGGGAAACCGAGUCUUAACUGGGCGUUAAGUUGCAGGGUAUAGACCCGAAACCCGGUGAUCUAGCCAUGGGCAGGUUGAAGGUUGGGUAACACUAACUGGAGGACCGAACCGACUAAUGUUGAAAAAUUAGCGGAUGACUUGUGGCUGGGGGUGAAAGGCCAAUCAAACCGGGAGAUAGCUGGUUCUCCCCGAAAGCUAUUUAGGUAGCGCCUCGUGAAUUCAUCUCCGGGGGUAGAGCACUGUUUCGGCAAGGGGGUCAUCCCGACUUACCAACCCGAUGCAAACUGCGAAUACCGGAGAAUGUUAUCACGGGAGACACACGGCGGGUGCUAACGUCCGUCGUGAAGAGGGAAACAACCCAGACCGCCAGCUAAGGUCCCAAAGUCAUGGUUAAGUGGGAAACGAUGUGGGAAGGCCCAGACAGCCAGGAUGUUGGCUUAGAAGCAGCCAUCAUUUAAAGAAAGCGUAAUAGCUCACUGGUCGAGUCGGCCUGCGCGGAAGAUGUAACGGGGCUAAACCAUGCACCGAAGCUGCGGCAGCGACGCUUAUGCGUUGUUGGGUAGGGGAGCGUUCUGUAAGCCUGUGAAGGUGUGCUGUGAGGCAUGCUGGAGGUAUCAGAAGUGCGAAUGCUGACAUAAGUAACGAUAAAGCGGGUGAAAAGCCCGCUCGCCGGAAGACCAAGGGUUCCUGUCCAACGUUAAUCGGGGCAGGGUGAGUCGACCCCUAAGGCGAGGCCGAAAGGCGUAGUCGAUGGGAAACAGGUUAAUAUUCCUGUACUUGGUGUUACUGCGAAGGGGGGACGGAGAAGGCUAUGUUGGCCGGGCGACGGUUGUCCCGGUUUAAGCGUGUAGGCUGGUUUUCCAGGCAAAUCCGGAAAAUCAAGGCUGAGGCGUGAUGACGAGGCACUACGGUGCUGAAGCAACAAAUGCCCUGCUUCCAGGAAAAGCCUCUAAGCAUCAGGUAACAUCAAAUCGUACCCCAAACCGACACAGGUGGUCAGGUAGAGAAUACCAAGGCGCUUGAGAGAACUCGGGUGAAGGAACUAGGCAAAAUGGUGCCGUAACUUCGGGAGAAGGCACGCUGAUAUGUAGGUGAAGCGACUUGCUCGUGGAGCUGAAAUCAGUCGAAGAUACCAGCUGGCUGCAACUGUUUAUUAAAAACACAGCACUGUGCAAACACGAAAGUGGACGUAUACGGUGUGACGCCUGCCCGGUGCCGGAAGGUUAAUUGAUGGGGUCAGCGCAAGCGAAGCUCUUGAUCGAAGCCCCGGUAAACGGCGGCCGUAACUAUAACGGUCCUAAGGUAGCGAAAUUCCUUGUCGGGUAAGUUCCGACCUGCACGAAUGGCGUAAUGAUGGCCAGGCUGUCUCCACCCGAGACUCAGUGAAAUUGAACUCGCUGUGAAGAUGCAGUGUACCCGCGGCAAGACGGAAAGACCCCGUGAACCUUUACUAUAGCUUGACACUGAACAUUGAGCCUUGAUGUGUAGGAUAGGUGGGAGGCUUUGAAGUGUGGACGCCAGUCUGCAUGGAGCCGACCUUGAAAUACCACCCUUUAAUGUUUGAUGUUCUAACGUUGACCCGUAAUCCGGGUUGCGGACAGUGUCUGGUGGGUAGUUUGACUGGGGCGGUCUCCUCCUAAAGAGUAACGGAGGAGCACGAAGGUUGGCUAAUCCUGGUCGGACAUCAGGAGGUUAGUGCAAUGGCAUAAGCCAGCUUGACUGCGAGCGUGACGGCGCGAGCAGGUGCGAAAGCAGGUCAUAGUGAUCCGGUGGUUCUGAAUGGAAGGGCCAUCGCUCAACGGAUAAAAGGUACUCCGGGGAUAACAGGCUGAUACCGCCCAAGAGUUCAUAUCGACGGCGGUGUUUGGCACCUCGAUGUCGGCUCAUCACAUCCUGGGGCUGAAGUAGGUCCCAAGGGUAUGGCUGUUCGCCAUUUAAAGUGGUACGCGAGCUGGGUUUAGAACGUCGUGAGACAGUUCGGUCCCUAUCUGCCGUGGGCGCUGGAGAACUGAGGGGGGCUGCUCCUAGUACGAGAGGACCGGAGUGGACGCAUCACUGGUGUUCGGGUUGUCAUGCCAAUGGCACUGCCCGGUAGCUAAAUGCGGAAGAGAUAAGUGCUGAAAGCAUCUAAGCACGAAACUUGCCCCGAGAUGAGUUCUCCCUGACUCCUUGAGAGUCCUGAAGGAACGUUGAAGACGACGACGUUGAUAGGCCGGGUGUGUAAGCGCAGCGAUGCGUUGAGCUAACCGGUACUAAUGAACCGUGAGGCUUAACCUUACAACGCCGAAGCUGUUUUG